GUUUUGUAUACAGAAUCUAUUUAGGACAAACGGCACCCCAUAUGGCGCCAACCUCUCCAUCAGUAUCGUACUAUCUACAUAUAAUUUCUCCCAGUUACUCAGGUCUGAGAUUAUGCAAAUCAGGUUGACCAAAGCCUCUUUUAAAGUUUCCAUUAUUAAUGCACUGUAGUAAAUGCAGCUGUCUCCCCAGAGUGCAAACAGGCAGCACUUUUUUUCCAGCAGAGACCACAUUCUAGCACCAAUUUGUAAAAAAGUUAGUUGCUGGCAAAUAUACAACUAUUGCCAUGAAAUUGUACCGUAUGGGUUCCCUUAAGUGCACAGUAUUGAAGAAUAGAAAUGAAUCCAGAGUAAGGGGGCUUGUGGCUGGGUUAGCGACUUGCAUAUAGUAAGAUUUGCACAUAGUAGGAUUUUUAUGUCCACCAUUGCAUUUUACAAAUUUGCAUACUUUUUUAAAAUACAAACUUUUAAGUGCUAAUGAAAGCUUACAAAUUACAUAAUGUAUUUUCAGAAAUAUGGAUUUUUUUAAUGGAUCUUUUUAAAUUGGAACUUUUAUACAUGCCUGGUAGCAGUUACUGAUAACUUUUAGUGCUUUUUACUACUCUUUCAGUACUAUCUCCGCAUAAAGAUAUUGCCCUCCUCAUUGACUGCAUGUACACUUUUUCAGGCAGGAAUCAAGUGAAAACAUCAGGACAGGUGAUCUGGACAAUUUGGAAGCAGUUUUGGUUGUUUUGACACCACAUUUUCGAAGUAAAACGUCACAUCACCAGAAGGCAGACAACAAACUCUUUGAGGCUGCUGUCUUUGUAGGCAUGAUUCUUGGAAGGAGCCAUGUGACCUGCGGUACAAGAGGUUUCAUCUUAUCCAUCUGCAAAUCUGUCAAGCUGAAUGAAGCAGGGAUUGGUGCAUACUUCAGAUAAGAAAAACUUUUAAAAGAAGAGGUAAUGAUUCUCAAAACUUUUUUUUGAUUUUGAAAUUUUGAAAAAUAUUCACGAUACUCUUGAUAAGAGGACAGAUUUACUAAAACUGACUUUCAAACAAUGUAAACAAUAAUUAUUUCAAAUCAUAUGCUUAUAAAGGACCACUACAACUCUGUUUUCUCUUUUUAAGUAUUUAGCUAAUCUAAUUAAUAAGAGGUGUAUAUACCCCACAAGCUUGUUGAUUAGCUUGUUUACAAUAGACCAGAAGGGAGUGUGGGCUAGCACCCAGGGGGCAUUGUGUUACAUCAUGGAGGGCAUGGCCAGCUGAAUAGGGUCUUAAAUGUGGACCUUUUCAUUAACAGGGCAACUCUUUUGGUUUUUCAUAGCUUGUACAAAGAGCUAGAAAAAUCUGUGCCAGUACAGGUAUUACCCAGUACUAAGUAAAAGUCUGCAGGUAAAUUAGGGAGUGUGGUGUUCCUUUAACAGAUUAACGUUGAUGUAACAUGUGUUGUUACCUAGCAAUAGAGCUUUGUGUUCCCACUGUAUUGCUUUCACAUUGCUCUGGAAAUUUGCAGCUAAUCAAGUUGGCCUUGAGAGGAAAAUAACAAAGAAAAUGAAAAUUAAUUUCACACUUUGGAAUGGGCUAAUCCAUUUAUCACAGGCAGAGGCUCAGUUAAACAGUCCCAAACUAUUCUUUUGUUUAAAAUACAAGAGACAUAUUUAAGGAAAUUGCACACUUUUCUCAUGAAAAACAGAUGUCCUUUUGUUUCAUGAGACUCACUUCUGUGCUCCAUAAUCCCCUGUCCCCCAACCCAGAACAAACGCAGAGGUUCCGGUCAUGGCUCAUGCUUCUGCCUAUAACAGCUGCCUUUCACAUCGGGAGGAGCCCUUCACUAUUCAGAUUCUGCCAGGUCCUAAAGAGUUUGUUCACCUUUAAACAACUAGUUGUUUUCUGAUAGAU